UGUCCCCCUGACGUGUCUCACGGCCGCCCCCACCAACCCCGUCCGCGCUGCCGCCAGACCCGCCUCUGCAGUACUCUCUCCGGCACCCGGGACUGAAGAUAAGACAGGAAGGCUCCCCGUCUCUUUCUGACACACCAGCACUUUCACAACUCUCCAGCUCUCCUACGUGCUAGAUCUCCUCCUCCAGACCUGGCGCCCCAGAUGAAUCUUAGGGGAACGGUGAUGCAGAAUGUGACCACAGAGCCAAACAGCCGGACACGUGGGGCAGGUGACCUCCUCCAGAGCCCAUGGCAGCCGCUGAGAUGGGGCCUGACCUUUCGUGCACGUUCUACACCAAGGACAACUUUCCAGAGAGACCGAGGAGCACGCCCACUGCCGCACAGUCAGAAAGGGACUGACCAGGGCUGGACCCCAGUCAGAGUGGCCCCUGGUCCCCCGCGUGCAGCCACCGUGCUCAGCCAUGGUGAGAGAUGUUGAUGAAAACAAAAAGAAAACAACCAAAAGGACCAGGCCUUUGGAAGCUGGUGGCUCCUGGAGGGAUGGGUCUUUGACUCAUUCACCUUGUGUGGCCAGCACCCGGGGCAAGAGGCAGCGGCAGUGCUUUGCCAACAAAAUAAAGGAGUGAAUGAAUGAAGGAACCAAUGAACGAGUAAUGGGCCACAGCUAGAAUUUAAGAGAAUACAAAAGCUUUUCAUGCCCUGACAUAUUUUAGAAUUUGUGCUACAUAAGUUUUAUGGUACUGUUGUUAUUUGUAUUGGACAUGAUCAGUUCUUCCACAGUGAAUACAAUGUGAAUAGCAAUGCUUAAGAUUAAAAAAACCCACAAAAACCCAGAAACUCCAAAUGGCCGAAAAACUUGUCUGAGUUAUUUUUUUAAGAGUAACUCAAAUAGUCCUUCAUGAACAUGCACACCAUUUUCAAGGGUUAUUGCUAGUGGGAGGGUUUCUACAGCAGAGGAAAGAAAAUAUUCAGGGAGAAUUCAAUUAAGUGUGACAUUUGCUUGUCUUUCACAAUAAAAAAAUAUCCUGUCUCAAAUUU